GCACAGCAGAGCCCUGAUCCUACCUGGUGCUACAAGCAGUCCGAUACCCACACGUGGAUCCAACUGGUCAAUGAAUCCAAACACCUUCACCAGAGCCCAGGAGUCACAUCAGGAGAGCUCUGCACAGCCAGCUGCUCUGUCUGCAUAGCCCUGAGCUGGGGGACUCAAGGGCCAAAGAUGGCAAGAAGGAGAAAUGCUGAACCUGAGCUGGAGCAGAGGAGAGAAACAGCCAUGAUGCAGCUUUUGUAUCCACUGAGAUUUCCUACUGUUUUUUAACAAAGUUAAAUCUAGUUUGUUUCUAUGAAAAAAAAAAUAAAAGCAUUGUAAAAGUUGAAAUUCAAACAUUUUGACUUUUACAGCUUUUUCAGGUUAAUUUCCUGUCUUUUUCCUCACCUCAUUUUCCCUCUUGCUGUGGAGAUUAGGAUAGGGUUUAAUGGGGAUAUCUUGAAAUACCUGAGUGUUUGAAAAUGGAAAGGAAACCAGUUUAUUUUUGUUUGCUUGCUUCUUUGGGAACUUCUUUAGGAAAAAAAUAACAAGCAGCCAACUCAAAACAACUUUCAAAUAUUGCACACCAAAUACUCUGUUUCUUCUUUCCCCCUGGCUAAAACACCUACCUGUGUGCAAGAAGCAAUGUCAUUGUCUCAUUGUGGGCAGCCUGAGCCUCACUGAUGGGCAGGCUGGAAAAGCUCCUAAAGGAAGGCUCUGGCUACCUUGUGCUGCUGGGAUACCCAGGCUCACAGCAAAUCAAACCAGGACAGGGGAAACCGUGGUGGACAGGUUGAGAAAAGAGCAGUGGUGGACACAGAGAGUGAGGGUG